GACCGCUCCGGUGGCCUAGUGGUUAGAGCGUCCGCUUCAGAUGCGGGAGGCCGCGAGUUCGAACCCCAUCUGAGUCA